GCUGAAAAUGACUGAAUACAAACUUGUGGUAGUUGGAGCUGGUGGCGUAGGCAAGAGUGCCUUGACGAUACAGCUAAUUCAGAAUCACUUUGUGGAUGAAUAUGAUCCUACGAUAGAGGAUUCCUACAGGAAACAAGUAGUAAUUGAUGGAGAAACCUGUCUCUUGGAUAUUCUCGACACAGCAGGUCAAGAGGAGUACAGUGCAAUGAGGGACCAGUACAUGAGGACUGGGGAGGGCUUUCUUUGUGUAUUUGCCAUAAAUAAUACUAAAUCAUUUGAAGAUAUUCACCAUUAUAGAGAACAAAUUAAAAGAGUUAAAGACUCUGAAGAUGUACCUAUGGUCCUAGUAGGGAAUAAAUGUGAUUUGCCUUCUAGAACAGUAGACACAAAACAGGCUCAGGACUUAGCAAGAAGUUACGGAAUUCCUUUUAUUGAAACAUCAGCAAAGACAAGACAGGGUGUUGACGAUGCCUUCUAUACAUUAGUUCGAGAAAUUCGAAAACAUAAAGAAAAGAUGAGCAAAGAUGGUAAAAAGAAGAAAAAGAAGUCAAAGACAAAGUGUAUAAUUAUGUAAAUACAAUUUGUACUUUUUUCUUAAGGCGUACUUAAGUAUAAAAGUGGUAAUUUUUGUACAUUACACUAAAUUAUUAGCGUUUGUUUUAGCAUUACCUAAUUUUUUUCCUGCUCCAUGCAAACUGUUAGCUUUUAUCUUAAAUGCUUACUUUAAAAUGACAGUGGAAACUUUUUUUCCUCUAAGUGCCAGUAUUCCUUGAGUUUUGGUUUUUGAACUAGCAAUGCCUGUGAAAAAGAAACUGAAUACCUGAGAUUUCUGUCUUGGGGUUUUUGGUGCAUGCGGUUGAUUACUUUCUACUUUUCUUACCAAUUGUGAAUGUUGGUGUGAAAUGAAUUAAUGAAGCUUUCAAAUCAUCCCUAUUCUGUGUUUUAUCUUGUUACAUAUGUGGAUUAAUUACUAAGUAUAACUUCAGUUGAGACUUUAUGAUUGGUUAUACUGAAACAUUGAGGGAACACAAAUUUAUGGGCUUCCUGUCGAUUCAUUUUCUAGGCAUCAUGUCCUAUAGUUUGUCAUCCUUAAUGAAUGUAAAGUUACACUGUUCACAAAGGUUUUCUCCCCCUUUCCACUGCUAUUAGUCAUGGUCACUCUCCCCCAAAAACUAUAUUUUUUCUAUAAAAAGGAAAAAAAAAAUGGAAAAAAAAAUUCAAGGCAAUGGAAAACAUUAAAAGGCCAUUUCCUUUUCACAUUAGAUAAAUUACUAUAAAACUCAUAAUAGAUUUUCCUGUUAAGGCAGACCCAGGAUGAAAUGGGGAUUAUAGCUACCAUUUUGGGGCUAUAUUUACUUGCUAUUAAAUUUUUAUAUUAAUUGAAAAAAUUUUAACAUGUAUAAAAAAUUCUCAUAGGAAUUAAAUAUAGUCUCCCUGUGUCAGAUUACUCUUUCUUAGUAUAACUUUAAAUCUUUUUUCUUUUUUUGGCGGCUGGUGGGUACAGGGAUCAAACCCUGGACCUUGGUGUUAUGAGCACCAUACUGUAACCAAUUGAGCUAACCGGCCAGCCUUAAAUCUUUUCUUGAACUUUGGUCUUUGAAAAUAGUUUUAAUUCUACUAGUAAUAUUGAAGAUUAUUUGGUCCAGUUAUAGGAUAGUAGGUAUUGAAGAGACCAAGUUUGCAAGGCCAGGCCCUUCGUGAACCUUUGAGCUUCAUUGAGAGUUUUGCAGUAUGGACUGCAUCCCUGUGGUCAUCCAGUGUUGCCAUGCAUUGAUUGGUCAAAAUGAGGACUAGGAGAGAGUUUGUAUAGUUCAACAAAAUACAUUCUCACUAUAUGGUGGUCCCACUGACAAAUCAGGAGCAUUGCUUUUGUUUUAAAAAACAGAACUUUUUAAAAAAAUUACUUUUAAAUAUUAAAAGUUGAUAUUUUGGGGUGGGGUGGUGCCAAGACAUUAAUUUUUUUAAACAAUGAAGUGAAAGUUUCAAAAUCUCUAUGUUUGGCUAGUUCUUACUAGCUAAAGUAACAUUUCAUAAACACUUUCCUAAAUUCAUAUUAAAAAAUAGAUAAGUUAAUAUUAAUGAAAACAGUUCUUUCAAAGCAUUUAAAAUGUUACUUAAUUUAAAAUAUUUGAAGUGAAAUAGUGUGAAAAUCACUGGACUAGGAGGAAGUUGACUUAGAUUCUAGAUAUGUGUCUUUUAGAACUCUGAUUUUAGGCAAAUCACUGUGCAUUUCUUCAUGUUAAAAGAAGUCAUCUCAAAGGCUCUAACUUUAAAACUAUGUUAUUUAUAUUCACUUUACAUAAGCAUACACCCAUUUGUCAAGCUCAGCACAUUCUGUAACUUUUUACCUGUUAUCUUUAGUACAAGUCUUGGGCAAAAUUGUGCAAGAGGUAAAGUUUAUAUUUGAAUAUCCAUUCUCCAGUUUCAGGACUCCCCUCCCAUAUUUGUGUCAUCUUGCCAGUCUACCCUUCCACAUGCCCCAUCACUUGAUGCAAUUUUCUUUUAAUACAUCCAUUUCCUUUAACCUCAAGAUUUAUUGCUUCUAUGGAAAUCUCCAUGAAGGUGUCCCAUUAAGUCACAUCAAAAUGCCCUACAUUUUAUUUCCUCAGGGCUCAAAAUAAUCUGACAGACACUACAAUGGGAUUUGACCUGAUAGCUGAUUUUCAGGUGGUAGCCGUCGCAAUUUAAUCUUGAUCCUUUGAACAUCAUCUCUUUGCUGCCCAGUCCGUUAGUGACUAAGUAGGAAUUUUCACACCUGGUAUGAAUAGACAGAACCCAACCCAGUGGAAGGAGAAUUUAAUAAAGGUAGUGCUAAAAGAUUCCUUAGGUACUCUACAGCUAGGACUAGCCCUGGUAGCAGUGUUUUAAUAACGAAAAUCUUCCUACAAUGAAAAAUACUUUAAAAUUUAUUUCAUAAAGCUUACUUUUUAUCAGAAUUCAUUUAUUCAACAAAUAUGUAUCAAGUGCCUACCAGAUGCCAGCCAGUACACAAGGCACUGAAUAUGAUAUGGUAUCCCCGAAUAAGAGACAUAAUCCCUGUCUUUUGGUAGUGCUACAGUAAUCUGCAAUAUCUUAGUAAGACAUUUGGAACAUGACCCAGAGAUAAGGCAGUGCACAUUUUAGUUUUGCAAAGAAGGGGUUUGGUCUAAGGUUUCUUCCCGUUCUAAAAUAAUUGUUUUGCAGUGAUUCCAAUGCAACUGUUUAGUCAAGCUACUUUAUAUAGAUCACUUUACUUCAUUGUUUUAAAUCACUAAACUGGAUUGUAUUUUUUUUUUAUUUGGCAUAACUAUGUGAUUCUAUUGGGACAAUUGUAGUACACAUUAAGUUGUAUGUCAGAUACUAAAUGUUAAAAUUCCCGAGUGUGUAAUACUCUUUCUUCUUGUGUAAGUAAUUAAAAUAGACUUUCAAAAAAUUAAACGUUGACUUAUAAAAUAGUUUUGUUUAUCUAGGUAUGAAUAAACAGGUGCCUGAACUAAUUCACAGAAAAGGAAACUUCUCUGUAAAAACCAGUAAGAUUUCUGAAAUGCUGUACUAGACUACAGAUUUAUGGAACAUUGUCUAGGUAGGGUCAUAAGACUUACAUAGUACCUCCUCUUGAGGAAGGCAAAGAAAUAAAUGGCCAUACUUCAGGAACUGCAGUGCAUAACUGAUAGGAUAUUUAGAACUCUUGAAUUUUUUAUGUAGCUGGGCAAUUUUUUUUAAGGUAGUGGUAAUUAUCCUUUAUUACAUGAAUUUUGAAUGGUUUAACAAAGGGUUUGUUUUUGUAGAGAUUUUAAAAGGAGAAAGAAUCCUAGAAAUAACAUAAAUGGUAUCUAAUUAUUACAGCCUUAAAGAUAAAAAUUCUUGAUGAAGUUGGGAAAAAGUGCUAAACUAUAGUUUUAGGCAUGUUUGUCUUCCACAUAUAGUCUUCCACGUUUGUGGAAGAAUAUAGCUUACACAUAUAGUAUAAUUUAAGUGAAUAUUCCCUGUUAGGAAUUUUAGGCUCUAUUUUAACUGAGUCACACUGCAUAGGAAUUUAGAACCUAACUUUUAUAGCUUAUCAAAACCUUUGCCACCAUUGCACAAUUUUGUCCUAACAUAUAUAUAUAUAGAAACUUUGUGAGGCAUGUUAAGUUACAGUUUGCACAAGCUCAUCUCAUUUGUAUUCCAGUGAUUUUUUUCUUCUAACCAUAUUUUUCCAAAUAAUAUAUAUACAUUUAGGGGUUUUGUAGGUAGUAAAAACUAUCCGAGGUCAUUUCCAUUUGUCAAAAAGUAAUAAUUUCUUGAUAAUUAUGUAGUAAAAUUUUUUAAAACCCGGCAUUUACUUUAAAGCUGAAUUUAUAUUUAGCAAAUUCUGUGUUAAUAUUGGCUAGCAUGAAUUCUGCAUUGAGAAUUUGAAUAGCAUACACCUGUUAGCUGUAAAUUCUGUCAGCAAAUGAAAAUUAUUUCUUUCCAAAGAUAUAUUAACAUUAGUUCUUGAAGAAUAAUCAUAAAUUAAGAUUUGUGUUCUAGUUUCAUAGUUUGAAGUGCCUGUUUGGGAAGAUGAUAGGCAAUUUAGAUGAAUUUAGGAAAAACAAGGUUAUUACCUGCAGAAAUGUCAAUUACAGAGGAUCCACCCUCCCCCACCCCUAUAGAGCUAAAUGGAUUACAUAAUGUUUUAUCCCAGAGUUUCCAAUUCCACUGUCUUGUGUUUUCAUGUUGAAAAUACUUUUGCAUUUUUCCUUUGAGUGCCAAUUUCUUACUAGUACUAUUUCUUAAUGUAACAUGUUUACCUGGAAUGUAUUUUAACUAUUUUUGUAUAGUGUAAACUGAAACAUGCACAUUUUGUACAUUGUGCUUUUUUUUUUUUGUGGGACAUAUGCAGUGUGAUCCAGUUGUUUUCCAUCAUUUGGUUGCGCUGACCUAGGAAUAUUGGUCAUAUCAAACAUUAGAUUUAAAAAUGACCACUCUUUUAAUUAAGAUUAACUUUUAAAUGUUUAUAGGAGUAUGUGCUGUGAAGUGAUCUGAAAUUUGUAAUAUUUUUGUCAUGAACUGUACUGCUCCUAAUUAUUGUAAUGUAAUAAAAAUAGUUACGGUGAUUA